rnacentral:rRNA from 1 species
UACGUAGGGUCCGAGCGUUGUCCGGAAUUAUUGGGCGUAAAGGGCUCGUAGGCGGUUGGUCACGUCGGGAGUGAAAACUCAGAGCUCAACCCUGAGCGUGCUUCCGAUACGGGCCGACUAGAGGUAUGCAGGGGAGAACGGAAUUCCUGGUGUAGCGGUGGAAUGCGCAGAUAUCAGGAGGAACACCGGUGGCGAAGGCGGUUCUCUGGGCAGUUACCUGACGCUGAGGAGCGAAACGCAUGGGGAGCGAACAGG